ensembl:lncRNA
ACUGAACAAAGAAUAAAGGGACUGCAGAGUAGUACCAGAUAGCUACUAGGCAAUGUGAUUUCUGCAGAGAAAAAGAAACAGGCAUGACAGUCACAGGCUGCGGUAGCUGAGUGAAUGAAAGCCUGUCUGAGAGCUAACAAAAGGAAUUGUUCAUUAUCAGACAUCAGCAAAGAAAACAAAAAUGAAACAAUCCCGGGACAUUUUCUCUAGGCACAGAGGUACGUCAGCAGCCUAUCCACCUUUGAUUCUUCAUCAAUAAGGGAAUGCAGGAUGCAAAUUGCCACACUCUGAGGCAGCUACCAUGCUGUGGAAGAAAACAUGGUAGUAUUUCACAAACAUUGCUACUCUAAGGUAAAUACCAUCACAAACCCCUGGUUGUGGAUCUUGAAUCUCAACUAAGAGAUAAGGAAGAUGGGCUUCAAUCAAUGAUAAGAGUCUUUUCAGAAGAAUGUACCUAAUUACAACUCUUUCAACUAAAUCAACAAUGCAGUUGGAUAAUUACAGUGUAGCAGAGAUAGAUAAAUCAGAGCCUCUAAAAACAGUACUUUUCAAAUAAGAAAACUGAGACAGUUUCAAGAUACCUCUUACUUAUCAAUUAAAGACUAAGUGUGAAAACCACAGGUUUUCUGGUCUCAGUAAUCAGUCAUCAAACACCACCGUGAAGAAACGGUUGCUGACUGUAGUAGCUGACUGCCCCAAACCAAGGAAUGGAUGGAAGGAGGACAGAAUUCACCAACUCAGAGUUGCAUGCACAUUUUAACAAAUAAAAACUUUUAUCUGGUG